rnacentral:rRNA from 1 species
AAACCACGAUAGGUCACGAUUUCUGGAAUGGAUCAUGGCUUAAAUCUACAUGGCCCCUGGAUUGGACUGCGGCCGAUCAGGCUGUUGGUGAGGUAAUGGCCCACCAAACCUAUAACCGGUACGGGCUCUGAGAGGAGAAGCCCGGAGAUGGGCACUGAGACAAGGGCCCAGGCCCUAUGGGGCGCAGCAGGCGCGAAACCUCUGCAAUAGGCGAAAGCCUGACAGGGUUACUCUGAGUGAUUUCCGCUAAGGGGAUCUUUUGGCACCUCUAAAAAUGGUGCAGAAUAAGGGGUGGGCAAGUCUGGUGUCAGCCGCCGCGGUAAUACCAGCACCCCGAGUGGUCGGGACGAUUAUUGGGCCUAAAGCAUCCGUAGCUGGUUCUGCAAGUCUUCCGUUAAAUCCAGCCGCUCAACGGAUGGGCCGCGGAGGAUACUACAGGACUAGGAGGCGGGAGAGGCAAGCGGUACUCAGUGGGUAGGGGUAAAAUCCUUUGAUCCAUUGAAGACCACCAGUGGCGAAGGCGGCUUGCCAGAACGCGCUCGACGGUGAGGGAUGAAAGCUGGGGGAGCAAACCGGAUUAGAUACCCGGGUAGUCCCAGCUGUAAACGAUGCAGACUCGGUGAUGGGCUAGCCUUGUGCCAGCCCAGUGCCGCA